GAUUCAGAAUGAUCAUGGUAUUAGUACAGGAAGAUAAGUCUGGAUGGUGGACAUGCAAGUUUCGUGGUCAAGAAGGGUUUUGCCCGGCUAAUUACCUUGUGAAAAUAUAAUGUCCUUGAUUGCAGUAAAGAACAUAGAAAGAGAAUAAUCUGUAUAUUUGUAUGGAUUCAUUUUAUAUCGUGGAGUCAUUCACUAGUAUAUCAGUAUUUUGCUGGAAAUAUAGAGGAGAAAUAGUUUUAAGAAGAAAAGUUUGGCUUAUAUAUUUAUACCUCAUAAUGUUAAAAUGCAUUUGAGAGAGGAAUGAUUGAUAUUAUCACAUUAGAAGAAAAGAAGCUAGCAAUAUUAACUUAUUUGAAAACUGUGUAGAUAAAGGUAUUUUGGUCAUUGAAGAAAAUUAAUGCCUGUGCUCAUCAUGUACUUUAUAUUUUACUAUAUUUUGUAUUGUCUGUGCAUGUAUGUAUGUAUGUAGUGCGUGUGGUUGUGCAUGUGCACAAGUGACUGCAUGAUGUAGGCGAGUGUUUAAACAGUUAACCUUUCUGAUGGUUUGAAAAGCUAGCAAAACAGUUUAUUUUUCAAGGAAUAAUAAUAUACGGUUCUGCUGAAUUCCUGGUAUAUACAUUUUCCUGUGGCAUUUCUUACUUUGAUGUGUUUGAGAUUAAUGGGAGGAUAUCAUAGACUGUAUGUUAGUAAAAUAUGGUUUAUUUUGUACAGGAUCAGGAGUUGAAUCAGAACAGUAAUUUGUUAAAAUUGCUUUGAAAAGUAAAAGUGAAUGGCUAUUAUGUAUGGUCCAAGUAACCUUCAUUAUGUAUACCUGUAAAUAUUAUCCCUGUUUCAAUCUAUAAGGAUAAAGAUGUAUAUUCUUUUUAAUAUGCUCUUCUUUCUGUUCGUGUAAAUAAUAACUACAGCAUGACAUAUGGUUUGAUUUUUUUUUUUUUUUUUUUUUACGUUGCAUAAUAACUUGUAUCAGGUUUGCCUCUAUUGUUUUGUUAGAAAUGUGUGAUGUUAUGAUCAAAGCAGCAUUGAUUUGAUCUCUCUCGAAGGUGUUUGUGAGCCACAUGAAACCUAUUAUUCAACUAUAAUGAACAUAUGUAUAAUUACAAUUUAAGUUUCCUCAACAGAAUUGCACUGGUAUGUAGUGUCAUUAUUGUUAAAUUCCAUUUCUCAUAUUACCUAUAUAUCAGUGUAUGCUAAAAGAAAAGAUUGUAAAUAUGUUUGUAUAUUCAUUUUUAUAAGUAUUUAACAUAGAAAUAUACUGUAUGGGGGUUCACCAAUCUUCAUUUAGUGAAUGGAUUGUAUAGCAGUGAAGUUGUCUUGCUACUAAUGAUUGACUUUCCCCGUUUUGUUUGCUCCUCCAUAGUGCUAAGGAAGAAAUAAAUAAUAUGCCAAAGAAAAGAUAUGAGUAACCAAUAUUUAACAAGUCAUCUUUGGAAGUGCUUAAUGAAGUGAUGGAUGGACAUUUGUAAAUUAUACCUAUCUAGUCUUCAAUAAAAUUUCAUGUUUGAAGUAAAA